rnacentral:rRNA from 1 species
UACAGAGGGGGCGAGCGUUAUUCGGAAUUAUUGGGCGUAAAGGGCGCGUAGGCGGCUUUGCAAGUGACGGGUGAAAGCCCUCGGCUUAACCGAGGAACUGCCUGUCAGACUGUGAGGCUUGAAUCCGGGAGAGGGAUGUGGAAUUCCAGGUGUAGCGGUGAAAUGCGUAGAUAUCUGGAGGAACACCGGUGGCGAAGGCGGCAUCCUGGACCGGUAUUGACGCUGAGGCGCGAAAGCGUGGGGAGCGAGUCCGG